CCCAGAGCUAUUACUCUAUUCUCGUCCAAACCUUCAAGUCGCCCAAGGUAUUAACAAACAUAACGCGUCGUGGUUAUCAAGAAGUGCAGUUAUCAAAGCAGUUAUUAAAGCAACCCUAUCACGUUCCACGAUUCAAGGAAUUCAAUCGAAAGCGGUUGAACGAUGAAGGGUAAUGGCAGCAGUUAAAAGGCAGUUUUCAUGACAAGGUGGCCAUUACGAAGAAAGUG
rnacentral:lncRNA from 1 species